UACGAGGGGGGCAAGCGUUGUUCGGAAUUAUUGGGCGUAAAGGGCGCGUAGGCGGUGCGGUAAGUCUGAUGUGAAAUCUCCCGGCUCAACCGGGAGGGUGCGCCGAAUACUGAGUGACUAGAGUGCGGGAGAGGAAAGUGGAAUUCCUGGUGUAGCGGUGAAAUGCGUAGAUAUCAGGAGGAACACCGGUGGUGUAGACGGCUUUCUGGACCGUAACUGACGCUGAGACACGAAAGCGUGGGUAGCAAACAGG
rnacentral:rRNA from 1 species